GAACGAACGCUGGCGGCAUGCCUAACACAUGCAAGUCGAACGAACCCUUCGGGGUUAGUGGCGCACGGGUGCGUAACACGUGGGAAUCUGCCCUUUGCUUCGGAAUAACAGUUAGAAAUGACUGCUAAUACCGGAUGAUGUCGUAAGACCAAAGAUUUAUCGGCAAAGGAUGAGCCCGCGUAGGAUUAGGUAGUUGGUGGGUAAAGGCCUACCAAGCCGACGAUCCUUAGCUGGUCUGAGAGGAUGAUCAGCCACACUGGGACUGAGACACGGCCCAGACUCCUACGGGAGGCAGCAGUGGGGAAUAUUGGACAAUGGGCGAAAGCCUGAUCCAGCAAUGCCGCGUGAGUGAUGAAGGCCUUCGGGUUGUAAAGCUCUUUUACCAGGGAUGAUAAUGACAGUACCUGGAGAAUAAGCUCCGGCUAACUCCGUG
rnacentral:rRNA from 1 species